rnacentral:rRNA from 1 species
UACGUAGGGUGCAAGCGUUGUGCGGAAUUAUUGGGCGUAAAGAGCUCGUAGGCGGUUUGUUGCGUCGGCUGUGAAAUCCCGAGGCUCAACCUCGGGUCUGCAGUCGAUACGAGCAAACUAGAGUGUUGCAGGGGAGACUGGAAUUCCUGGUGUAGCGGUGAAAUGCGCAGAUAUCAGGAGGAACACCGGUGGCGAAGGCGGGUCUCUGGGCCGAUACUGACGCUGAGGAGCGAAAGCGUGGGGAGCGAACAGG